AUGGAAAGCAUAGGAAUAGAUGUGUAUUCGACAGUGAGCAACUAGAGGUCCAUGAAGUUCCCCAGGAGGUUGUAGACAAGGGUAGUGUUUGGGUGAGGGCUGAUACUGUAGCUUUGGGGCAGCUAACACAUCAGUAGACAGUAGUCUCAGGACUCAGGAGGUUAGGCUGCUCAAUCUUCACAAUGGUGAUGUGCAGCUCUCUUGCAUAUUCGAGAAAAAAAUCAAGAGGAGUUUGAAAAGAAAAACAAGUAUGGAGCUGUUUCAUCUUCACGGGGGCUUUGAUCGAUAAGGAUUCAGGAGUGCUGGAAGAAGAUUUGGAGCAAGAGCUGUCGCUGUCCGGCGUCUGGCGGUCUGGGGGAGACCAGUGAUUUUCCUACGCACGCCUGCCAAAAGUGGGAUGGAGUUGAACGCAAAAUGUGUUGUUUGUCAUUGGGUAGAUGGAGGAGGACACCUCGUUUAUACGCGCGGAGGAGGUGUAGUGCGACUGUGCGAGUUGAAUUUGUAAGAAACUCAGCCGCAUGCUUGCUUGGAGAUACUUGAGAUGGAACGGAAAACUCAGGUCUCAACAGCUGUAGAGAAGGUGAGGGGAGGGAAGCAAACAACCUAGCUUACAUUGUGAUGAAACAAGGCAGAUGAGUUCUGGACCUCUCUCUCUCUCUCUCUCUCUCUCUCAAAAAUGGUUUGCCAGUAUAGUCUGUGACUUAGGAAGAUUGUCAUGCCUGAAUCCCGAUAUAGAAUUUCUGGUGUAAUUUUCACAGUAAUA
rnacentral:lncRNA from 1 species